UUAUUACUCCCUCGGUCCGAAAAUACUUGUCAUCAAAAUGGAUAAAAAGAGAUGUAUCUAGAACUAAAAUACAUCUAGAUACAUCCUCUUUUAUCCAUUUUGAUGACAAGUAUUUCCGGACGGAGGGAGUACUAG
rnacentral:pre_miRNA from 1 species